AUUAUUGCAGGCAAGUACAAGUGAAGAUAACGUCGGAGACGUGCCGUGCUCCCCUUUCGUCAUUGCCAAAGGAGAGAACUUUCUGACUGCCGGGGUAUUUACCAUCUGUAUUGAUACCCAUGCUGUGAUCGAAUCCACCACACGGUGCCAGGCAUUCAAGUUGAUGCUCUUUACACACUUCGCCUUUACUAUUGAAUACCGCAAGGAGGUCAGCCUAACCCUGGUGUUCACACAAAGGGCAGCCGCAGCACUCAACCCUGACAGAGGGAGCAAGGUCGAGAAGUCAAGGAAGCAGCGCCGCCUCACACCACAAAUGACCAACUUAAGCAAAGCUCUGCGAG